rnacentral:rRNA from 1 species
UUCGAUUAGAGUUUGAUCAUGGCUCAGAACGUACGCUGGCGGCACGCCUAACACAUGCAAGUCGAACGAAGUAGCAAUACUUAGUGGCAGACGGGUGAGUAACAUGUAGGUAUCUACCCUUUGGCCUGGAAUAACACGAGGAAACUUGUGCUAAUACCGGAUAAGUCUUUACGGAGAAAGCUUUAUGCACCAUUGGAUGAGCCUGCACUUGAUUAGUUUGUUGGUGGGGUAAUGGCCUACCAAGACUGUGAUCAAUAGCUGAUUUGAGAGGAUGAUCAGCCACAUUGGGACUGAGACACGGCCCAAACUCCUACGGGAGGCAGCAGUGGGGAAUCUUGCACAAUGGAGGAAACUCUGAUGCAGCGAUGCCGCGUGAGUGAAGAAGGCCUUUGGGUUGUAAAGCUCUUUCGUCGGGGAAGAAAAUGACUGUACCCGAAUAAGAAGGUCCGGCUAACUUCGUGCCAGCAGCCGCGGUAAUACGAAGGGACCUAGCGUAGUUCGGAAUUACUGGGCUUAAAGAGUUCGUAGGUGGUUGAAAAAGUUAGUGGUGAAAUCCCAGAGCUUAACUCUGGAACUGCCAUUAAAACUUUUCAGCUAGAGUAUGAUAGAGGAAAGCAGAAUUUCUAGUGUAGAGGUGAAAUUCGUAGAUAUUAGAAAGAAUACCAAUUGCGAAGGCAGCUUUCUGGAUCAUUACUGACACUGAGGAACGAAAGCAUGGGUAGCGAAGAGGAUUAGAUACCCUCGUAGUCCAUGCCGUAAACGAUGUGUGUUAGACGUUGGAAAUUUAUUUUCAGUGUCGCAGCGAAAGCGAUAAACACACCGCCUGGGGAGUACGACCGCAAGGUUAAAACUCAAAUGAAUUGACGGGGACCCGCACAAGUAGUGGAGCAUGUGGUUUAAUUCGAAGAUACGCGCAGAACCUUACCAACACUUGACAUGUUCGUCGCGACUCUAAGAGAUUAGAGUUUUCGGUUCGGCCGGACGAAACACAGGUGCUGCAUGGCUGUCGUCAGCUCGUGUCGUGAGAUGUUGGGUUAAGUCCCGCAACGAGCGCAACCCUCACUUUUAGUUGCCAUCAUUAAGUUGGGCACUCUGAAAGAACUGCCAGUGAUAAGCUGGAGGAAGGUGGGGAUGACGUCAAGUCCUCAUGGCCCUUAUGUGUUGGGCUACACACGUGCUACAAUGGUAUCUACAACAGGAAGCGAAACUGCGAAGUUAAGCAAAUCCUUAAAAGAUACCUCAGUUCGGAUUGCACUCUGCAACUCGAGUGCAUGAAGCUGGAAUUACUAGUAAUCGUGGAUCAGCGUGCCACGGUGAAUGCGUUCCCGGGUCUUGUAGA